rnacentral:lncRNA from 1 species
UUAAAACGUCGUGCUACUUUCAACCUCCAUAGUUUUAUAAAGUUAUACGAUAUUCGUCUAUAAAAUGGCAUUUAUAUAACGAGGUUAUCUCCUAGAAUCUACACUAGAUAGUCGAAAAGUUGUAUACAGCAUGCAGCACACAGAGCGAUAGAUCGAGCAACUGCGAAUGCGAUUUAACUAUAACUGGGCGAGUUGGAAGAAAUUCUAAUUUUACUACUUUUAGCAGUUCGCGUGACAUAAAAAAAGUAACAUUUGAACUAAGAUUAUUCUUCGGGUAGCGGUGUAGGUCGCGCAAUUUUGAAAACGGGUAUAAUUGCAGCUUUUACUUUAUCAGUGACCAGUGAACGUAUAACCUCAACAGUUAUACAAUCUCUAUAUGUCGGUAAUAGCUAUUGAACCUAUACAUUAAAUAUUCGCCUCUUCCUGGAUUGCCAAAGGCGUAAGGGUU